rnacentral:lncRNA from 1 species
CUGGGCGUGACAGGACCCAAGACAGCAAGGGGAGCCAGGAUGGAAUAGGGGCCCCACGCCUGCAGCCAGAAGCGGAGUGGGACGCCUGGGACGUGAGGGCCCCAGGUGGUCCCCAAAUAGCAGACAUUUCCACAGCUGUAUCCAAGAAGGUGCAGGGCUGCAGCGUCUGUGCUUCCCAGUCCCAGCACAGCUGAGCAAGGCCGGGUGACUGGCAGAGGCAGCUUGGAGCCAGGUGGAUGGACACCUGGCCCCCCGGAAGCUAUGAGCAGAACAGUCUCUCACAGCUCACGCAAGUCCUCCUGGGCUCCCACCCUGAGAACUGAAAAGAUCCAAGGGUUGCAGCCAAAGCCGUUUGGCUCUGACCGCUGACCAGUGGUUUAUGCUCGGAGGCUGAGCACUCGGGGCUCCUGAUCUUGUGGAGCUUCCUGCAAUCCCACGCCGUGCUGUCUGUGAGACACGGCAGACAAGCUUGCUUUCUUACACGAAUUAAACUCACAACAUAAU